rnacentral:rRNA from 1 species
AGAAUCAACGCUGGCGGCGUGCCUAACACAUGCAAGUCGAACGAGAAAGGGGAGCAAUCCCUGAGUAAAGUGGCGACCGGGUGAGUAACACGUGACUAACCUACCUUCGAGUGGGGGAUAACCUCGGGAAACCGAGGCUAAUACCGCAUAACAUCGUGAGAUCAAAGCAGUAAUGCGCUGGAAGAGGGGGUCGCGGCUGAUUAGCUAGUUGGCGGGUAAUGGCCCACCAAGGCGAAGAUCGGUAG